GGGGAGAUGUGUCGUACGUGACCUGCGGAAGGAUCAUUACUGAAUUGAAGUAAUUCUCUUGGAAAGGGCUUGGAAAAGGCUUCGCUACCGCGCUGCCGAAAAGAACCUCUCUCACCGUUGUGGACCCACCAUGGAGCUUUGGCGGGUCGACCCGGUUUCGACACGGGCGGAAGGCGCCCUGAGCCCGAGGUCUGAAAUGACUGCUGGCAAAGCGCCCGCCUCUGAAUUUCAUUUUGUGAAGUCCUGAUAUAUCAUUUAAUUGAUUAAAACUUUCAACAACUGAUCUCUUGGUUCUGGCAUUGGUGAGGAAUGCAGCGAAAUGCGAUAAGUAAUGUGAAUUGCAGAAUUAACUGAAUCAUCGAAUCUUUGAACGCACGUUGCGCCCUCUGGUAUUCCGGAGGGCAUGCCUGUUCGAGCGUCAUUUCAACCCUCAAGCUCUGCUUGUUAUUGAGCAACGUCCGCUGCCGGACGUGCCUCGAAGACCUCCGCGACAGCAUCCUAGCCUCAAGCGUAGUACUACAAUAUCUCGCUUUGGAGUGCUGGGCGACGGCCGCCGGACAAUCGACCUUCGGUCUAUUUUUCCAGGUUGACCUCGGAUCAGUGGGAUACCCGCUGAACUUAACU
rnacentral:rRNA from 1 species